rnacentral:SRP_RNA from 1 species
GCUGGGCGUGGUGGUGCGUGCCUGUAAUCCCAGCUACUUAGGAGGCUGAGGCAGGAGAAUUGCUUGAACCCAGGAAGCAGAGGUUGCAGUGAGCUGAGAUCAUGCCACUACACUCCAGCCUGGGCGACAGAGUAAGACUCUGUCUCAA